UUAUUACACUGCCAUCUCCACCCCAUUUUCCUCUGUCUUCACAUGCCAUCUCCUAAGGACAGCACUCACUGCUGGAUUAGGGACCCACCCUAUUCCAAUAUGAUCUCACUGCAACAUCAUAGCUGCAAAAACUCUUGUAUCCUAAUAAGGUUCCAUUUUGCAGUACUGAGGACUAGGGCUUCAACAAAUCUUUUUGGGGAGAGACCAGCCCCUGAUACUUGGUAGGUCUGAGGGAAGAAGAAAUCCUUUUUUGCUCUCCAGAGUGGAAGUCACAAUCAGAUAUGGACAAGCAUCAGGCAGGCUUUCCCACGGGACAACAAUUGUAGACACACAUUCUAGACACUGCGACCCUGUAGAGAACCGGGCAAAAAAUCAUCUGCACCAGAGUGGAGUAGAGCAUGCAUUUGGCAGAGAGUGGCAAAGAAAGGACAUUAGCAGAGGAUGGACAAGUGACAGCAGGGUCUCAAAAAGGAUGGACUGGUCCAGACCAAGGUCAAACUUUCCUUCUUGUGCUGAUCCUGAACUCAGUGCAGACUGGCUGGUGGCUGUUCCUUCUGGAGUUAUCAGUUUGGAGCUGAAGCAGCUUUUCAUCAAGACAACAGUUUCCCUGAAGCACAGAAAGGCUAUGGGAGGGUUGCUAAACAAAGCGAAAAUUAAAACAUCUAUUUGAAACAGAAGUGGAGCUCCAAGACAAAAGCCAAUUGGCCAGGCUGUCAGCUGCU